ACAUGCCUACAACAUUGUGUUAAUGCAUUGAAUCCCAUUAGAAAUUUGCAGUUAAGCACGCUCAGGAUAGAGUAGUACUGGGAUGGGUGACCUCUCGUGAAGUCCUAAUGUUUUACAUGCC
rfam:Picea glauca, whole genome shotgun sequence.